rnacentral:rRNA from 1 species
GACGAACGCUGGCGGCGUGCUUAACACAUGCAAGUCGAACGGAAAGGCCCUGCUUUUGUGGGGUGCUCGAGUGGCGAACGGGUGAGUAACACGUGAGUAACCUGCCCUUGACUUUGGGAUAACUUCAGGAAACUGGGGCUAAUAUCGGAUAGGAGCUCCUGCUGCAUGGUGGGGGUUGGAAAGUUUCGGCGGUUGGGGAUGGACUCGCGGCUUAUCAGCUUGUUGGUGAGGUAGUGGCUUACCAAGGCUUUGACGGGUAGCCGGCCUGAGAGGGUGACCGGGCACAUUGGGACUGAGAUACGGCCCAGACUCCUACGGGAGGCAGCAGUGGGGAAUAUUGCACAAUGGGCGGAAGCCUGAUGCAGCAACGCCGCGUGCGGGAUGACGGCCUUCGGGUUGUAAACCGCUUUCGCCUGUGACGAAGCGUGAGUGACGGUAAUGGGUAAAGAAGCACCGGCUAACUACGUG